rnacentral:rRNA from 1 species
GACAGAGGUGCCAAGCGUUAGGCGGAAUCACUGGGCUUAAAGCGUGUGUAGGCGGAUUGGUAAGUACCUUGUGAAAUCCCACAGCUUAACUGUGGAACUGCUCGGUAUACUGCUGAUCUUGAGCCACUCAGGGGCUACCGGAACAAAUGGUGGAGCGGUGAAAUGCGUAGAUAUCAUUUGGAACGCCAAUGGUGAAAACAGGUAGCUGGGGGUGUGCUGACGCUGAGACACGAAAGCCAGGGGAGCAAACGGG